UGAAUGCCGAAGAAAUUCAACGGCUUCAAGAAACAGGGGGGAAAAAAAAAAGCAAAUAGAUACCUCGGCGGACAAGGAUUUCGCGGUGAAUGACGUCCUCCUUCAACUCGCGUUGAAACUCACUCGUAUCACUGUUUCAUUAUUGUUCACCAUUACGAGUCCAGCUGGCAGUUUUGCGCACCACUACGGAGAUACAUUCCCACCAGUAAAUAUUUUAUCGUACUCACCAAGGUAUCCUUCACUCCGCGUACGGUCGUCGUGACAGUGUCUUGUAGUCCGCGCUGAGUCGGGAAGUUCCGCUGAAACAUAAUUAAGUGUUUAGAGUUUUCAUUAUUAACAUAGUACUUUGGCAAUGUCCAGUGAUAUUAUUUGUGCCUGAGUUGGUGAUUAGGAUAGGAUUAUGAUAUUGAGAAAAUCCAAAGUGUUCAGUGAGUGAAUGAUAUUGAUAGUAGCGUGACCCCAGUGAUCCUUUUAGAUAGUAAAAAAAAUUUGGGAAAAUUCAUGCUGAUCGCCAGGUGAAGAGGACUCGCAACUGUUGGAGUUUGAUGCGUGGCAAGCAGCACUCGUUACACCAGGAAGAUACAACUUGUGGACUAGUCCACCAGAGCAUUGGGCUCCGGUUGGACAGCAAUCGUUUUUUAAGUGACGAUAAGGAAGUGAUCGAAAGAGUGAAAACGCGGUCGCCAACACCCGUCCUGGCGAACGACGGGUGCUCCGGUACAACCGGAGCUGGUGGUGGUUUUUGGCUGGCCUCGGUGGCCGCGGGGGCAGGUGCUGGAGCCAAUCUGCCUCCGCACGGUACCCAUCCAACCAUGGAUCCAAAUUGUGGUCCUGCCGAAACUGGAUUUAUCAAUAGUCAGCCAUCGAUGGCUGAGCUAUCAGCAAUGCCACAACUUGGUGGCGACGGCCAACUUCAACAUUCACCUGGUACUGUUGGAUCCAUGAGUCCUGGCAGUCAUCACCCUAAUUAUCAUAUUAUGAUGGAUCCACAUGGGGUGCAGGAUCCAUCUGGUGUCAAUGUGCCCGAAUAUCCGUGGAUGAAGGAGAAAAAAACGACGAGAAAGAGCAGUCAACAAGAAAAUGGCCUGCCCAGGAGAUUACGUACCGCCUACACAAAUACCCAGUUACUCGAGUUGGAAAAGGAGUUUCACUUCAAUAAGUACCUGUGUCGACCGAGGAGAAUUGAAAUAGCAGCGUCCCUGGAUCUAACGGAAAGGCAGGUGAAAGUAUGGUUUCAAAAUCGUCGGAUGAAGCACAAGAGACAAACACUGAGCAAGGAGGAUGGUGAUGAUAAAGACGGUGGAUCGUCGGACGGUGUAGAGAAGCCCAAAGGGGAGAACAUGCUGAUUGACGAGGAUGAGAAGAAGAGUUGCCUGAACUGUGAUAUUUCCGGAGUUACUGACGUCGGUAGCACUCUCAGCGAGGUAACAGACCUCGGUACCUCACGAGUUGGAAGUAAUAAUAAUACACCAAGUGCAACCAAUAACAAUAACAAUGGAUCAAAUGUAGGAUUUAAUACAAAUAGUAAUGGUGCUAGUAGUGUUGGCAGUACGAACAGUGUAUCAAGCUCAUUCGAGAAGAUAAUGGCUGAUGAGGACUCGAGAUCUAACGACGGUAGUGAUGUGACAUCACCAAGCAUACCAACGAAGAAGAUGAGCGAGGUGAGAAUCAAAGUGGAGGGUGGCCACAAGAGUCCAAAUCCCACGAAGCAUCCGGUCAACAUCUGCAAAAAAUCACCGUCAUCUAGCAAUAAGGAAAUGUGUACAGUAACAAGCAAUGGUGUUCUCCUAGCAAUGCCGGAUUCAACAGUCAGUACACCGGCACUACCCAGUCAGGGAUCCAGAAGCUUAACACCCUCUUCAACCCCCGGAACUCCUGUAUCCGUUCAACUCCAGCAGGGAAGCCCGUUGAACGUGCAAAACACUCACGGCUCCUACAUGCAGAGGCCCAGGAGCUCCCCAUCGUCCACCAGUUCCGGCAGUAUUCUACAUGCCUCCUCAAAUUCAGCCACCAUGCCACCUCACGUGGCGAGGAAUAUCCCCGCAAAUCCACCGGGGCAUUUUCCACCUCAGCAAAAUUUGUAUCAGCCACCUGCUGGUGAUUACAGAAAUGGAAUGCCCAUGAACAGACAAAAUGUUCCACCAACGAAUCCACAGAAUACGUACUGCAAUCGAGAUACGUAUCAACAGCGCGUGACGUAUCCACCAGAUAUGCACUCGAUGUAUAGACAGAACCCAACGAUAGCCACGCGAGUUGGUCAUCAUGGAAGAACAGGAUCAACGACCCGACCAGUUUACAACCCAUCCAUGCAGUUCCAUCAGCAGCAGCAAUCGCAGUAUCCCAACACAGGCGAUUACAACGGCUAUCCACAGGGUGCUGCACCCUAUCACAGCAACUACCAGCGAGCCAUGCACCCAGCAGGAACUGCUUAUCCGAGUCAAACGUAUCCAAACUCCCAGACUGAUCCAUCAACAGAAGGAUAUAUGACUGGAAGUUACGGCUACCCAACUGGACCAUAUCAUGGAGACAACAUACCUUCUCACUCCCACACAGCCGUUCCUGUACAACCCGGGCAACAUUACUAUCCUGAGAUGCAGCAUCAAACCCAGCAGCAACAUGCAGGUGAAGGAUAUGCUUCCAUUCACCCCAAUCAGACGGAUUACAGAGGCAGCAAAUGUCAUCCAAACACUUACUAUGAACAGUCACAGCUGCAUGUGCAUCAAGGAGGCGAAGCCUCCAACAUCCCCAAUAGCUAUGUUUCCUCACCGGAUCCAUUCCCUGCCCCCGGCAUGACCACUACAGCAACGGCAAUCGCUGCAGCAACAGCCGCUGUUAUCACUCCACCAGACAGCACUGGUCAGGCAGAGACAAACAACGAACCCUAUGGCAACUUUGGAGGUUUCUACGGUGAACCUGUUCACGCGACUGCGCCAACACCAUCUGCCGAUAACAGCAACAGUUCGUCGGACUUUAAUUUCCUCAGUAAUCUCGCCAAUGAUUUUGCACCCGAGUACUAUCAGCUCAGUUGAGUCCACGAAGCUGAAAAUCCGGGGCCACUGGACUGGAAUGAGGAGCAGUAUAUGCUCAACGAACUUUACUGAUUUCCAUCGACAGGGAUGUAAUUAUUACUGAUGCCGGGAGACCUAGGAGGAGGAGGAGGAGAGGAGCUAGGUGAAACGAGAGAACAAUUUUCUUUUGUUGGGAAGAAGCUCAACAGACAAGAGGAAGAAAGGAGAAGACAGUUUUCAGAUGGAAAAUCAACUGCGAGUGAUGACGUGGGCAAUAAUAUUUUUCAUCUUCAGGGUUUUUUUUCUGAAUCAGGUUUCUCUGCCGAAACCUGAAAAUCGCGAUUCCGGAAUCUUUAUAAUUCAAAACAAUGAAUUUUUGCUUUUCUGAUUGUUAAUUUUUGGAUCAAUUGAUAUUGUGCCCAAGUACGAAAAAAAGAUAAAAGGUGCAAGAUAAUACCAGAGAUUUGGGAUUGUUGCCUGGUACUGUCUUGUGGUAUUACUAGUAAUUAUGGAAAAUGAGUGUCUCUCGCUGAUGCCUAAGGACUAAUGACUUCUCCAGUUUUAUUCCACGAACUUCACGAAUAUUGAUCGUAAUUUAAGUGCAAUCUCGAAAUCUUCGGUAAGACAGUGACUGUGAAAUAUGUAAAUUUAGGAUAGUGAACAAUUAUUGGCAUAGAUAAUGAUAAAAUGUGCAUUUGUGCAUAAGAUGUAUAUCUGAAUAUUGAUGUGAAAAAUUUGCAAAAUUUGCAAACCUUUUCACAUCAUCAAUUUGCAUUUUGUUUUGCGCGAGUUGUGACAAAUGAAUGUAGGGUGACUGUAUCAAUGGAAUUUGUUAGAUAGUGUACAAAGGAUGAAUAUACAUAUGUCCGAAUGCCGUUAGUUGUUAAACUGCCUGAUGAUAACUCGUCAACUAGUGAAACACGAGAGGAAAAGCGUGCAUCGCAGGUUAAUUGUGUAUCGAGUUUAGUACGUUAGCUGAAAAAAUAUCUCAAAGUUGAAUGAUCAAGUGAGGAGAGUGAACAUAAGCGUGACUGCGAGUUAAUAUCAGCGUGACGACAAAUCUAGGAAGCUGUACACUCUGGGCUUCUUAUAUUUCAUCAGACGGAAAAGCCCGAGUUGAGAGAGACGGUUAGAUUCAGAGGGGGUUGACACAUAUGUACGGAUAUUGUGUUGGUACAUUGGGUGAGGAAUUUUUGACAAUGAUGGAUGACUGCCCAUGAUGCGCAUGAGUCAGGCCCAUACGAUGCCACGAUCCGACCUCAUAUGUGGCCUUCGUGCCGACAACCGCAUCGUCCGAACUCUUGCUACUGCAUCUGCGUUGGCUAUUCUCAUCCCCCUGAAUAAUGCUAUCAUUGCCUGAAUGACUGGGGCUGCGAUGGGACGUCACAUCAGGAAAAUUCAGCCAGUAAAAUUUCCAGUAUCACCACUGGAUUUUUUUCAUGACCACCACUUACGCCUCCUUUCCCGCGUCAGUACCAGAAUUUUUUUCUUUCUCUCUCUCUUCUUGAAUGAUUGAGAAAUUUAUUUAAUGACACGUACAAAUAACUCAUCAGCUCAAUAAAAAUCGUUGUACA